GGGGCCCCCGGGCGGCGGGGGGGGCUCUGCUGCUGCUGGCAGGUCUCUGUGCCGCGGGCGCCGCGCUCUGGUUCGGCCUCGGCUGCGCCGGGGAAUUCUUCGACCCCAACACCGUGGGGGUCAGGUUCGAGCCGGGCCCCGCCGUGCUGGAGGCGGGUGGGGGAGGGGCGCUGCAGGCCCUGGGGGGAGGGGCGCUGC